GCAGGAGACCGAGGAGCCCAGAGGACACCGCCUUUAACAGGGAGGGAGAGUUAAAGAGACAACAACCUGGAACAGUUCAGUCUGGAUAGUUCCACUGGACCCAUGGAACCCAUCAAGGGAUCCCCACAAGAUAUUCAGACCAUCGCCAACCAAGAUGGAGCUCAGUCUACAUCUCCCCUGUGCUCUUGGGCUGCAGAAGUCUCUGCCAGCGAUAAGGUGGCCAGGUUCCGGCAUUCAACCUGACAGCCUGGCAUUCCAGCUUCCUGUGGGGUCAUGAAAACUGAAGAAUGGACCCGUUUGGUACCACUGUUCUGAACUUGAAGAAUGAGUGCCCGAAUCACGGUGCGUUGGAGACGUUGCUCAGAGCAGAAA